rnacentral:lncRNA from 1 species
UUUAGGGAAUUCAGGCAACAGUGUUCGUGGUAAAAGACCUCAAUUUUAAGUCAUGGUGACACUACUAACUUGCUUUGUGACCUCAGGCAAGUCACAAACUCUGCAAAUUGGGUCUCCUAAACUGUAAAAAGUUGAAGAAUGGACUAGAAAAGCUCCGGUGUGUGUUGAUUAGGUGGGCUGGAGUACUUAGGAGAUGCUUCAGGAAGAUGAUUGGCACUUAAAGAGUUAAGAUUUGGAUAACUAGAAAGGAGGUGUGAGAAUAUUUCAAACAUGACGAAGGAGCAACAUCAGCAGAACAGAAAUACAUCAGUUGUGGUCAUGGGCAGCUGUGCUCGUGGAAAAGAAAAAUGAGGCUUGAAAGGUUAAGAGAAACUUUUCAAGCAUCAGAUAGAGGUGGAAGAGUUGAAGCUAGAAUGCAGAUCUUAACCAAUCCUUCCACCACUCCAAAGAGAAACUCUUAUUAAAGAAGAAGAGGAAGAAGAAGAAGAAGGAGAAGGAGAAGAAGGAGAAGAAGGAGGAGGAGGAAAGAAAAGUAAAGAUUGUCCAGUCAUACAAUUAUUUCAUUCACUGUUGUUUGAAUAGAGCAAUUGAUAUCUUAAAUCAAUCUGAUCAACUGCACAAAAAUGGUUGGAUUAUUUAGAAGAUUUGAUUGAAAACCAGUUGUUUCAGCGGUCAUGUGUAGACCUGGACUUAAUAAAUGACCACCUUUGAGUCCCCCAGCUGAAAGAGAACAAAAGAACCCAGAGGCAAAUCAAUGGCAAAUUGCCACCCCAAACAAAUUGCAGUAUGUAAGUUCUGAAACUUGAAUUACCCUUCAAGGAUUAAAGUUCAAGACUGUGAAAAAUUAAAAAUGUUGCCUAGCCUAGGAAAUAGCAUAUGAAUCAAAAAUCUCAUUAGUAAGCUUAAUGGCACUCCUAAUCUUCUACUUUCAUGACAUCUAAACUGUUUUGUUAUUCUUAAUGGACCAAAUCCCCCUUCUGGUAAUGUUCUGAAAAUUCUAUUUUUGUGGCAAUUUAAAAAAUCAUAUGGCAUGUUCUUUAUAUUUGGUUUAUGUAGGAGUUAAGACCACUUCAAACAUACUUUUCUUUCUUUGUCAGAUGGCUAUUUAAUAUUGUGUCAUUCACUUGUUGAAAUAAAAGUAAGUUAAUCUGCAGAAAUACAUGAACACCCCAAAAGGAUUGAAUUGUAUGUUUGAGAAAUGAUAUAUUUUUUUCAAAGUCAGACAUCAAAGGCUCCAUAUUCCAGAAAGUUUAUUUUGAGAAGCUUCAGUCAAAACAGUUUGGGAACUAUGAAAUGAGUCAUUUUUUCUUGAAGAAAUGUAACUUUGUCUAUUCCCACUGCAUUUUUGGUUUGGUAGGAGACAUCUUUAUUCCACAGGAUUUUAAAAGCAUGUUUAAGAUUCCAUAGGUUUAGUAUUACAUCACUAAUGGUUCCUAAUGAGAUCCAGGCAAUAGCAAGACGGGGGGAAAAGAACACACAAAGGCUGAAUUCUACAACACCAAGCACCAUGUAAAAUGUGGAAAAAUCUCCAUGCUUUAUCUAUUGCUGAAGCUAUCUGGAUAAAAAGGGGGCAAUUCAUAUUCAAUCAACCAGACAUGUGGAUGACAUGAUACCCAAUGUUUGGCUCUUCACAACCAGUCAUCUAACAGGCUGAAUUCUUUACUUUUCACGCAGAUGUUUGCUGCCCUGUGGGUACGGUCAAAAUGAACCAUGUAAAUAUCGAGAUAUUUUAUUCAUCCCAUUCAGUGCUUCGGGCCUUAGCUACUUGUUUGGCUUUGUUCUCAUAGGCAUCUUUUAGAUGAAAAUUACAGAAAUUUUCCUUUUGAGAUGAUAUGUACGUACAUAUAGAGGCAUACAUCUUCCCCAAGCUUCCAGCAAUUUUGCAUUUUAAGGGGGCAUGUGGAGGGACAGGUGGGGUGGGCAGGGUGACCCACGGAGAAGUCAUUUUUCUACAGACCUAUUCACCAAUUUCAUCUUAAGGCAAUUCCACAUUGUUGACUUGAGUACAGAGCUUCUACAUGUAAAGUACUAAACUAGUUACAGUGGAGAGGCAGGGAUAAAUUAAAGCAUAGUUUCUGCUUUCAAGGAACACAUGAUCUAGCCAGGGAGAUAGAGGCAACUAACUAUAUCGCCAAAUAGAACAUAGAGUGUAGAAAUAUAAUAGAAAAAUGCAAUGAAUGAAAACCAUACUUAAUUCUCUUCAAAUGAAGUAGAAUAAGUUGUCUGAAGAUUUGGGGAGGAAGUUUGAAAAGGAGAUGGUAAGAUGAGAGGUUUUAGAAAUUUAAAAUAUUUUUAUACAAGGAAGUAUCAAUGCCUUAUUUACAGUGAGUGUUAGCAUUCACUCAGAAAACAACUACAGAAUAUGUUUGAGAUUCCAGGAUUAUGUUAGACAAGUUAGUAUUUUUUUAACAAAUGCAUAACUUAUUAAAUUUUGUCGUUUCUUAUGAAAAAUCACUAUAUUCUGAAUUCAACUGAAGAAUAAAAUUUGUAGAUAGAUACAAAUGUCUUUCUUGUUUGACAAGUGAACUGAUCAAUUCAUAUCUUGUUCAGACAAGAUAUGAUUCUAGAAAUUCUAGAAAGUUUCCCUUCAUCCCAUUUACUCAUUAUCAUUCACCAAAUAAAGCAGAAAUAACAUUUUCUCACACAUCUGGUAAACCUCUUUUGGGCCUAGGCAUUGGCCCAAAUAAAAGAUA